CCUACGGGAGGCAGCAGUGGGGAAUAUUGGACAAUGGGCGAAGGCCUGAUCCAGCAAUGCCGCGUGAGUGAUGAAGGCCUUAGGGUUGUAAAGCUCUUUUACCAGGGAUGAUAAUGACAGUACCUGGAGAAUAAGCUCCGGCUAACUCCGUGCCAGCAGCCGCGGUAAUACGGAGGGAGCUAGCGUUAUUCGGAAUUACUGGGCGUAAAGCGUACGUAGGCGGUUAUUCAAGUCAGAGGUGAAAGCCCGGGGCUCAACCCCGGAACUGCCUUUGAAACUAGAUAACUAGAGUCUUGGAGAGGUUAGUGGAAUUCCGAGUGUAGAGGUGAAAUUCGUAGAUAUUCGGAAGAACACCAGUGGCGAAGGCGACUAACUGGACAAGUACUGACGCUGAGGUACGAAAGCGUGGGGAGCAAACAGGAUUAGAUACCCUGGUAGUCCACGCCGUAAACGAUGAUAACUAGCUGUCCGGGCACUUGGUGCCUGGGUGGCGCAGCUAACGCAUUAAGUUAUCCGCCUGGGGAGUACGGUCGCAAGNUUAAAACUAAAUGAAUUGACGGCUGNGANGCGAGCGACACGAGGAGAG
rnacentral:rRNA from 1 species